rnacentral:rRNA from 1 species
CCUACGGGAGGCAGCAGUGGGGAAUCUUGCGCAAUGGGCGAAAGCCUGACGCAGCCAUGCCGCGUGAAUGAUGAAGGUCUUAGGAUUGUAAAAAUUCUUUUCACCGGGGACGAUAAUGACGGUACCCGGAGAAGAAGCCCCGGCUAACUUCGCGCCAGCAGCCGCGGUAAUACGAAGGGGGGCUAGCGUUGCUCGGAAUUACUGGGCGUAAAGGGAGCGUAGGCGGAUAGUUUAGUCAGAGGUGAAAGCCCAGGGCUCAACCUUGGAAUUGCCUUUGAUACUGGCUAUCUUGAGUAUGGGAGAGGUUAGCGGAACUCCGAGUGUAGAGGUGAAAUUCGUAGAUAUUCGGAAGAACACCAGUGGCGAAGGCGGCUAACUGGCCCAUUACUGACGCUGAGGCUCGAAAGCGUGGGGAGCAAACAGGAUUAGAUACCCUGGUAGUCCACGCCGUAAACGAUGAGUGCUAGUUGUCGGCAUGCAUGCAUGUCGGUGACGCAGCUAACGCAUUAAGCACUCCGCCUGGGGAGUACGGUCGCAAGAUUAAAACUCAAAGGAAUUGACGG